rnacentral:rRNA from 1 species
GACGAACGCUGGCGGCGUGCUUAACACAUGCAAGUCGAACGAAGUGGCGAACGGGUGAGUAACGCGUAAUCAACCUGCCCUUCAGAGGGGGACAACAGUUGGAAACGACUGCUAAUACCGCAUACUGAAGGAGGGGAUUGCGUCUGAUUAGCUAGUUGGAGGGGUAACGGCCCAACAAGGCGAUGAUCAGUAGCCGGUCUUAGAGGAUGAUCGGCCACAUUGGGACUGAGACACGGCCCAGACUCCUACGGGAGGCAGCAUGGGGGAAUCUGCCGCAAUUGACGAAAGUCUGACGGAGCAACGCCGCGUGAGUGAUGACGGCCUUCGGGUUGUAAAGCUCUGUUAAUCGGGACGCGGUACCGGAAUAGAAAGCCACGGCUAACUACGUGCCAGCAGCCGCGGUAAUUC